rnacentral:rRNA from 1 species
UACAGAGGGGGCUAGCGUUGUUCGGAAUUACUGGGCGUAAAGGGCGCGUAGGCGGCCCGCUAAGUCGAACGUGAAAUCCCCGGGCUCAACCCGGGAACUGCGUCCGAUACUGGCAGGCUUGAAUCCGGGAGAGGGAUGUGGAAUUCCAGGUGUAGCGGUGAAAUGCGUAGAUAUCUGGAGGAACACCGGUGGCGAAGGCGGCAUCCUGGACCGGUAUUGACGCUGAGGCGCGAAAGCCAGGGGAGCAAACAGG